UACGAAGGGGGCUAGCGUUGCUCGGAAUCACUGGGCGUAAAGGGUGCGUAGGCGGGUCUUUAAGUCAGGGGUGAAAUCCUGGAGCUCAACUCCAGAACUGCCUUUGAUACUGAAGAUCUUGAGUUCGGGAGAGGUGAGUGGAACUGCGAGUGUAGAGGUGAAAUUCGUAGAUAUGACAUAGAACACCAAUUGCGUAGGCAGCUUACUACACGAUCAUUGACGCUGAGGCACGAAAGCGUGGGGAGCAAACAGG
rnacentral:rRNA from 1 species